AAUCAACGCUGGCGGCGUGCCUCAGACAUGCAAGUCGAACGAUUAAACUUUCCUUCGGGAAAGAUAUAAAGUGGCGCACGGGUGAGUAACACGUAGGUAAUGUACCUUUGGGUGGGGAAUAACCAUCGGAAACGAUGGCUAAUACCGCAUAAUGCAGCGGCAUCGCAAGAUGACAGUUGUUAAAGAUUUAUCGCCUAAAGAGCAGCCUGCGGCAGAUUAGGUAGNGGUAAGGUAAUGGCUUACCAAGCCUGCGAUCUGUAACCGACCUGAGAGGGUGGUCGGUCACACUGACACUGAAUAACGGGUCAGACUCCUACGGGAGGCAGCAGUCGGGAAUUUUGGGCAAUGGGCGAAAGCCUGACCCAGCAACGCCGCGUGAAGGACGAAGUCUUUCGGGAUGUAAACUUCGUAAGAAUA
rnacentral:rRNA from 1 species